rnacentral:rRNA from 1 species
AUUGAACGCUGGCGGCAUGCCUUACACAUGCAAGUCGAACGGCAGCACGGGGCAACCUGGUGGCGAGUGGCGAACGGGUGAGUAAUGCAUCGGAACGUGCCUUUCAGUGGGGGAUAACGUAGCGAAAGUUACGCUAAUACCGCAUAUUCUGUGUGCAGGAAAGCAGGGGAUCGCAAGACCUUGCGCUGAUUGAGCGGCCGAUGUCAGAUUAGCUAGUUGGUGAGGUAAAGGCUCACCAAGGCGACGAUCUGUAGCGGGUCUGAGAGGAUGAUCCGCCACACUGGAACUGAGACACGGUCCAGACUCCUACGGGAGGCAGCAGUGGGGAAUUUUGGACAAUGGGGGCAACCCUGAUCCAGCCAUGCCGCGUGAGUGAAGAAGGCCUUCGGGUUGUAAAGCUCUUUCGGCCGGGAAGAAAUCGCACGGGCUAAUACCCUGUGUGGAUGACGGUACCGGAAUAAGAAGCACCGGCUAACUACGUGCCAGCAGCCGCGGUAACAC